AUUGAACGCUGGCGGCAGGCCUAACACAUGCAAGUCGAACGGUAACAGGAAGAAGCUUGCUUCUUUGCUGACGAGUGGCGGACGGGUGAGUAAUGUCUGGGAAACUGCCUGAUGGAGGGGGAUAACUACUGGAAACGGUAGCUAAUACCGCAUAACGUCGCAAGACCAAAGAGGGGGACCUUCGGGCCCCUUGCCAUCGGAUGUGCCCAGAUGGGAUUAGCUAGUAGGUGGGGUAACGGCUCACCUAGGCGACGAUCCCUAGCUGGUCUGAGAGGAUGACCAGCCACACUGGAACUGAGACACGGUCCAGACUCCUACGGGAGGCAGCAGUGGGGAAUAUUGCACAAUGGGCGCAAGCCUGAUGCAGCCAUGCCGCGUGUAUGAAGAAGGCCUUCGGGUUGUAAAGUACUUUCAGCGGGGAGGAAGAGAGUAAAGUUAAUACCUUUGCUCAUUGACGUUACCCGCAGAAGAAGCACCGGCUAACUCCGUG
rnacentral:rRNA from 1 species